rnacentral:rRNA from 1 species
CACACAGUAAACGAUAAUCACUAGGUGUCGGGUUCGAAGAGGAUUCGGUGCCGCAGCUAACGCGUUAAGUGAUUCGCCUGGGGAGUACGAUCGCAAGGUUGAAACUCAAAGGAAUUGACGGGGGCCCGCACAAGCGGUGGAGCAUGUGGUUUAAUUCGAAGCAACGCGAAGAACCUUACCCGGUCUUGACAUCCAUAGAAUCUUCCAGAGAUGGAGGAGUGCCGGUUUACCGGAACUAUGAGACAGGUGC